UGACGACUACAUUGUUUGGGUUUGUCUCAUUGUUGAAGGUCAUGCUGUUGCCUGUAAUUGCUUACAUUCACUUCAUUUCAACUUUGUUGGAUAGUUUUCGCAUUUGCAAUUAUACCUCAUCACCUUUAAUAUUUUUAUAUCUACUAGUUUAAUUUGGAAAUGCAUAAAAAAAAUCCCCAGUUAAAAUCUACCAUAUUUGUUUACCUUUUGUACACAGUCACUGUAUAUGAGACAAUCUCUUAGUUCAUGUCGUAAUCUGUCACAUGAUUUCUUAUAUUUACCAUCAUCAUCAGCCAUUGAAGAAUUAUCUUCCAAUCACCUAAUAGAACAAAUAAAAGGAAAAGGUUAUAUUUCACAUAAACCAAUACUUUACACCAAUUUGUUGCUAUAUUAAAUUGCAAUUGAAGAGCAUUCUCAAAUUUGUUUGUUUAGGUAAUGUGAAUUUAAAUUGAUUUUAUAUGUGACAUAUAAAAUCUUUACUUCUUCAUCUGAUGAGUUCAUUAUUCAAUCUUAAUGUUUUUAAACUAAUUGAUUAAAGAAUGUAUUCUUCUGAGGUUUCGUUCAAGAAUUAUUUCAAAAACAUGUAAUACAUCUGGAAAAUAGCGAUGAAUUUAAAAAAUGUUAUAAUCAAACUGAACUCUUUGAAAAAAUUGUGUACUUUCAAUUAGUAGUUUAUGAGUAAAAAAAAUAUUUUUUUUUAUCACUAAUCAAUUCAGUUUUUUUAGUCAAAAUUUUGAGAAAAUGGGUGAGGGGCACAAGAAAUUAUUUUACCAGAAACAUUGUUACAUGUAGGCCUACAUCCCAAUCCCCUACAACUUUCCUUAUACUUUAGAUAUAUAUAUUUUUCAAUCAUUUAUAAAAAAACAAAGAAGUUAAAAUAAUAUGCAUUUUGUUCUUAAAACAGAGAAAAUUGACAAAAUUGACAGAAUUGUCAAUUUGACAUGAAAAAGAGAGCUGUAGUGUCGUGGUUAGUGCAUCAGACUACUAACACAAAGGUUCUGGUUUGAUUCCCUUUUCGGAAUGAAAAUUUCAGAGACUGAAUUUUCGGCUCUCCUUUGACACAAUUUGCUAGUAUGGUCUUGAGGAAACGAUGAUAGUCCGUUGGAAGGGGACAAUAAAUGGCUGACUAAUGUUAAGAGAGAGCCAUAUCUCAAUGUAUCUCUUGCACGUUAAAGACACCCAAGGCAGCACUCGCACCCACAAAGCGAAAAGGGAUUAAUAUAUAAGUUGCAAAACUUGUUUCCCAAUUUACUAUAAAUAAAUAUGUUUAAACUUAACUAAGACAUGAAAAAGCAUCAAAAUAUUAACACCUACCUUAAGUGGUUUUUUUUUAACUAGAUGUGUCAAAGCACACAAAGUUAAUCACAUACCAAAAAUCAGCCCAAUACUAAGGCGUUUAGCCAAACACUCUGUAUAAUGGUUUGUUGCGGAAUGAUGGAAUGACCGAAUUUCGGAUGGACGGAAUUACGGAAUGACUGACAAGGGUAAAACUAUAUGGCACUGACAACUUUGUUGCAGGGCCAUAAAAAGUUAAAUUUAUUCAGAUUGAUCCAUUUCAUCUAUAUUAAAAGUAUGAAAAAAAGUUUAAUUGUGAAACUGUGGUCUUUUGCACGAUAAAAGCCCAAAAAUGGGUAAAAAUUGAUUAAAAUGGGAAAAUAAUCAAAAUUGAGUACUUACAAAGGGCCGUUACAAGAAAGGAAGUGCACCACAAUAUGAUUUUUUCUUCACCAAUUAUUUUUUAAGUCUUAUAAACCCAAACAUAAGGUUAAAACCAAUUAUUUUUUAAGUCUUAUAAACCCAAACAUAAGGUUAAGACAAUAUUUUAGUUCUAGAAAUUGUUGGCUCCUCAGACAUUGUCAGAGGCAUUGUGGAAAUUGCUGUUCAUCUGUAUGGUAUGUAAAGUAGUGUUGUUCUGCGUUUUUUUCCAUUUUACAGUAAUCUACCUUGGUCCUAGCUUGUUUGCUAAUAGCUUUCUUUCUAGAAUGGAUUGGCAAUCUUUGACUUGGAAAAGGGUUUGUAAUGUUAUCCAUAUUGUAAUGUACAAAGACGGAUCAUAUGGAUGUAAGGGUUCCUUAAACAAAUUUGGACAUCUAGACGAGUGUUGCCUAAACAAAUUAAGACAUAUAGACGAGUGCCUAGAGAUUGUUGCUACAUUGUAAUUAGUAUGCCAACAAAAGAAAACAGCCUGCAAAGAACCAUAUAUUAUUUGCAUAUCAGAAUACUCCAGUUCAGCAGUUGAUCUGAAAUUAAUGCUGCUUUUUAAUUAAUACUUUGUGCAAGUUGUCCAUUUUCUACAUUUGAAAAUACCUGUACCAAGUCAGGAAUAUGACAGUUGUUGUCCAUUCAAUUGAUGUUUUAUCAUUUGAUUUUGCCAUUUGAUUACGGACUUUCCAUUUUGAAUUUUCCUCAUAGUCGAUAGAGUUCAGUAUUUUUGCUAUUUUACUUUUGUCCUAAUUCAUGUAAUUAGGUGUCCCCUAUUACCAUAGAAAAAUUUAAAAAAUCUAAUUAAAAAAAAAAAUGUUCUUGCAAAAUAAUCAUUCUACUAAUACAUGUAAACUUGUGCAUUGUUAACUUUUUUUAAGACUUUUUCAUUUUCAAACAUUUGCGCAGAAAUAUACAUUGUACUUAAAAACUUAAAUAACAAUAACUUCACAACUAAAAUCCCUAACAACAGAACCAAAAUAAGAAACGUUCUGGUUUUUUUUUUCCAUUCCUUUUUAACAGAUUUUAAAGUUAAAAUAUGUUUGAAUUAAAAAAAGUUAUUCUACAGACUUCCUUCCCUUUCACAGGUUAUGCCUGACUCUUAUCAUACCUUUAUCUUUGGUUCAUUAAAAUAAGCCAACGGCUUUACUGACCCUUCUGGUGAAUGCAAUUUCUUGUCUUAAUAAUAUAUUUAAAUAUAUUAGACUUAUUAAAAAUAAAAAUAAAUAUUUCGGUGUGUGCAACUGAACACUUAACCUGAACAUAUGAAUUUAUACUGGUUUCAAUUUUCGCCGUUACUAAUUAAAAUUACAAAGUCUUCUCACAGUUAAAUUGACAGGUUUUUCAAUGAUCCACUUCUACUGAAAAAGUAUAAGUCUAUGGCGUUUUACACUGUUUAAAAGUUUAAAGAGUGACCUCUAGUAUUUAUUAGAUUGUUUACCAUAUAGGCUAUCUGUUGAUAUCAUCUCUUUAUUUUAUAUAUAUACAUUGUUAAUAAAUAUACAUUAUAUAGUGUGCUUUCUUUUCCUUGUUGUAACGAUUUAAUUGUAUUCAAAUAUUAAUCAUUUUGUAAUCAUUUGUACCAAAUUUAUUGUGAUUAUUCUGGGUCUUUAAUUACAUAAAAUAUAUUGAUUUGAUUUAUUUGAUUUGUAUAGGAAUUUUCCGUGUUCGAUUGACUAAUAUGGGCGAAGUCCAAUACAUAGAAAAAUAAUAAAAAAAAAAAAAAAUCGGGAAAUUUUCCCGAAUUUUCACUGUACUAAUCAAAUCGUUCAAUUUUUUUUCGUGUUUUUAAAUUCUGAUCUGCGCACGCAGAAAUUACUUCCUUUUUCGGUCUUGUCGUGAGACUUUAUUAGUCUAGUAAAAUAUAGGAAUCAAGAACACAAUACAAUAUUUUUAAUUUCUUUUUUGUAUUUUUGCGUUAUUGUUUAAUUGAACUUUUAAAUGACUCAUAACUUAAAAACGCACAAUAAAUCCCUAACAACGAAAAAAUCGGAAACGUUACAUAUUUCCGUUUCUUUUUUCACAAUAUUUUAAAUUACAAAAAAAUAAUCAUCGACUUCGUUCCUUCACAGGUAAUGCUGCCAUAUAUUAUGUGCGAGUUGUCAUGGUAAAUAUACAAUUGUUUGACUUGUCUUGGGCCGAGUUGAUCCGCACUAUUGUUUUAUUGUAAACAUUUUCAAAGACAAUAUUUUAUUAGAGUGCCUAGGUCAUUUAAGAUAAUAGAAUAUAGGAAGAUGUGGUGUGAGUGCCAAUGAGGAAAAAUUCCAACAUGAUGUGUUUGGACAAAACAUGAUAAAUUGUAAAUAAUUCGUACCUUUACAUAAAUUUGAACUUAUAAAUUAGCAGAAAGAUAACUAUGCAAUGUUCCUGUUAUGAAACAUGGGCGCUGACAUCUUGUUUAACUGUUUCUACAGCAUUCAGU
rnacentral:lncRNA from 1 species